rnacentral:SRP_RNA from 1 species
CUGCACUAAUCGGGGAGCCAGCGGUGCCCUGUCGCCUGCAAUCCGCUAUAGCAGGGAUGAAUCCCCGAACGAGGAUAUGUUUUGUGUCGUCUGCCGCCGGAAAGCAGCGUUGAGAAUCCGGUCUUGCGCAACGGAAACCCGUGAACCAUGUCAGGCGGGGAACCGAGCAGCAUUAAGCGGUGCUUUUCGUGUGCCGCGAGGGUGCCGGAUUUGAGCCGGCUGCCGGUGUUCCGGGCAUGAAUUCAUAUUCGGAUUCGGGUGUGCAG